UCCGGUGGUUCUGAAUGGAAGGGCCAUCGCUCAACGGAUAAAAGGUACUCCGGGGAUAACAGGCUGAUACCGCCCAAGAGUUCAUAUCGACGGCGGUGUUUGGCACCUCGAUGUCGGCUCAUCACAUCCUGGGGCUGAAGUAGGUCCCAAGGGUAUGGCUGUUCGCCAUUUAAAGUGGUACGCGAGCUGGGUUUAGAACGUCGUGAGACAGUUCGGUCCCUAUCUGCCGUGGGCGUUGGAAGAUUGAGAGGGGUUGCUCCUAGUACGAGAGGACCGGAGUGAACGCACCACUGGUGUUCGGGUUGUCAUGCCAAUGGCAU
rnacentral:ncRNA from 1 species